CAGGUGGCUGUGCUUGUCUGUGAUAACCUUGUGCCGAUAGCACGUCCCUGUGACAGCGACAACGCAUUCGGAUGUCUUCCCUAUCAACUUUCAAUGCAAUUUUUCGCGCCUACAAUGGUGACCACGAGUAACGGGGAAUCUGGGUUCGAUUCCAGAGAGGGAGCCUGAGAAACGACUACCACAUGCAAGGAAGGCAGGAGGCGCGCAAAUUACCCACUCCCGACGCGGGGACGUAGUGA